rnacentral:rRNA from 1 species
AGCGAACGCUGGCGGCAGGCCUAACACAUGCAAGUCGAGCGCCGUAGCAAUACGGAGCGGCAGACGGGAGAGUAACACGUGGGAACGUACCCUUUGGUUCGGAACAACCCAGGGAAACUUGGGCUAAUACCGGAUAAGCCCUCACGGGGAAAGAUUCAUCGCCGAAGGAUCGGCCCGCGUCUGAUUAGCUAGUUGGUGGGGUAAUGGCCCACCAAGGCGACGAUCAGUAGCUGGUCUGAGAGGGUGAUCAGCCUCACUGGGACUGAGACACGGCCCAGACUCCUACGGGAGGCAGCAGUGGGGAAUAUUGGACAAUGGGCGCAAGCCUGAUCCAGCCAUGCCGCGUGGGUGAUGAAGGCCCUAGGGUUGUAAAGCCCUUUCGGCGGGGAAGAUAAUGACGGUACCCGCAGAAGAAGCCCCGGCUAACUUCGUGCCAGCCGCCGCGGUAG